AACGAACGCUGGCGGCGUGCCUAAGACAUGCAAGUCGUACGGAAAGGCCCCCUUCGGGGGACACUCGAGUGGCGCACGGGUGAGUAACGCGUGGGUAAUCUGCCUUAGGGUCUAGGACAACCCCGGGAAACUGGGGCUAAUACUGGAUAAGACCACGAGCUCCUCGGAGCUUGCGGGAAAAGAUGGCCUCUCCUUGGAAGCGAUCGCCCUUCGAUGAGCCCGCGUCCCAUUAGCUAGUUGGUGAGGUGACGGCUCACCAAGGCUUUGAUGGGUAGCUGGUCUGAGAGGAUGAGGCGCCUCACUGGAACUGAGACACGGUCCAGACUCCUACGGAAGGCAGCAGUCGGGAAUUUUGGGCAAUGGGCGAAAGCCUGACCCAGCAACGCCGCGUGAGGGAUGAAGGCCCUAGGGUCGUAAACCUCUGUCGGGAGGGAAGAACGGUUCACGUUCGAACAGGACGGGAGCCUGACGGUACCUCCAAAGGAAGCACCGGCUAACUCCGUGCCAGCCGCCGCAGUAA
rnacentral:rRNA from 1 species